CCACAAGCCCAAAUUACCCGAGCCGCAGGACGGGGGCGGAGAGAGCCUUUAAAUAACGAUGAUGAUAAAUAAUACAUCAGCGACCGUCGAGAAAAGAGUCCAUUGCUGCACCCAUCUCCAUUUCUGGUUUUAGAACGCAGGGGUCAUGCUUGGCUGCCCAUUGCAGUGCGGGCUGGCAGUGCAGCAUCCACACCACCUGGGACAGACUAAAAAGGAUUUGGGGACCCCCAGGGUGAGUGGAGGCCCUGGACUUCAGCCCAGAAGUCAUGGGAUGUGAAGAAACCAAAAAGCUUUCCCUAUAUUAUGGACUGAUGAAAAGUAUAUCUGCAAGAAAGCAAUGUGUGGCAGUGUGAUAGAAAAACAAUUUUCCAUCUACUUGAAAGCACUGAGGAAGCAGGAUGCAGACUGUGGGGAGCACACACCCUUCCUCUCCUUGCCUGGCUGGGUGCUCCUACCCAGAUGGGAAUCAUGUGAAUGAGUCUAUUAUAUUUCUUUUGUCUCUCCAGUCUUAGGCCAAAUACAAACUUUGCAUCUUCAAUAAAGCUUUUAAGCUUCUCAGAAAUGUAUUUAAUAAUUGCAUGCUAUUUUUAGUCUGCUUUCUUUAGGGAAAGUAAGUUUAUGAGAUCACCCAGCUUUCUGUGUCCGUGUGUCCGUGUGUGUGUCCCUCUAUCAACUUUGCAAUGCCUGGACCAAUUUGAACCAAAUAUGGUACUGUUGUAGGGACACAUAAGGACACCUCUAAUGGCGUAGUUUGUGAGGAUGUCAUCCACCCCAGUUCAAGAUGGCAGACACAUGAACUUUUGAGGAGCAAGUGGGCUAACUUGUGAACCGCCUAACUGAUUUUAAACAAAUUUGGUACAAUUGUAGUGAAUGUCACGUAGGGACACCUCAGUGGCAUAGUUUUUGAUGAUUUCAUCCACCAUGAUUCAAGAUGGCAGACGUGAACACUUGAGGUACAAGUGGGUUAACUAGUGAACUGCCUAAACAAUUUGAACCAAAUUUGCAAGAGCUGUAGGGACACAUAGGGACCAGUGUUCCCUGUAAGAGGGAAUCCCAGAUGUUGUUGACUACAGCUCUCAGAAUCCCUAGCUGCAGUAGGCUUUGGCUAAGGAUGCUUGGAUGUGUGAAUGUUUGAGGCAGAAGCUGGUAAUUAUCAGUUAAGAUUAUGGUGGAAGAAAAGUAGGCAGAUUAGUUCUUUACAGAACUUAUUGUUUCUUUCCUACUUAAUUACUUGAAGCUCUCCAAACAUUUGUGAAUAAAACAGCUGCAACUCA